GCCAGGCAUGGUGGUACUUGCCUGUAAUCCCAGCUUCUCAGGAGGCUAAGGCAGGAGGAUCGCUUGAGCCUAGGAGGUCAAGGCUGUAGUGAGCCAUGAUGGUGCCACUGCACUCCAGCCUGGGCAACAGAGCGAGACCCUGUCUCAA
ensembl:misc_RNA Metazoa_SRP Metazoan signal recognition particle RNA